rnacentral:rRNA from 1 species
ACUUGUCUUUUAAAUGGAGACCUGUAUGAAUGGCAUAACGAGGGCUUAGCUGUCUCCUCUUUCAAGUCAAUGAAAUUGAUCUCCCCGUGCAGAAGCGGGGAUACUUACAUAAGACGAGAAGACCCUAUGGAGCUUUAGACACCAAGACAGACCAUGUUAAACAUCCCAAGACAAAGGACCAAACCAAAUGGCCCCUGCCCUAAUGUCUUUGGUUGGGGCGACCGCGGGGAAACACAAAACCCCCACGUGGAACGAGAACACCUCCUCUCACAACCAAGAGCUCCCGCUCUAGUGAACAGAAAUUCUGACCAACUAGAUCCGGCAAAGCCGAUCAACGGACCGAGUUACCCUAGGGAUAACAGCGCAAUCCCCUUUUAGAGGCCAUAUCGACAAGGGGGUUUACGACCUCGAUGUUGGAUCAGGACAUCCUAAUGGUGCAGCCGCUAUUAAGGGUUCGUUUGUUCAACGAUUAAAGUCC